rnacentral:rRNA from 1 species
AACGAACGCUGGCGGCAUGCCUAACACAUGCGAGUCGAACGAGACCUUCGGGUCUAGUGGCGCACGGGUGCGUAACGCGUGGGAACCUGCCCUUAGGUUCGGAAUAACUCCCCGAAAGGGGUGCUAAUACCGGAUAAUGUCUUCGGACCAAAGAUUUAUCGCCUUAGGAUGGGCCCGCGUUGGAUUAGCUAGUUGGUAGGGUAAAAGCCUACCAAGGCGACGAUCCAUAGCUGGUCUGAGAGGAUGAUCAGCCACACUGGGACUGAGACACGGCCCAGACUCCUACGGGAGGCAGCAGUGGGGAAUAUUGGACAAUGGGCGAAAGCCUGAUCCAGCAAUGCCGCGUGAGUGAUGAAGGCCUUAGGGUUGUAAAGCUCUUUUACCCGGGAUGAUAAUGACAGUACCGGGAGAAUAAGCUCCGGCUAACUCCGU